rnacentral:rRNA from 1 species
UGGUCCCACCUGACCCCAUGCCGAACUCAGAAGUGAAACGCCGUAGCGCCGAUGGUAGUGUGGGGUCUCCUCAUGCGAGAGUAGGGAACUGCCAGGC